CCCUUUUUGGCACUCUCAGAAGCCCAAGCACAGAGUUCAGAGAAAUGUGAGCACCUGUAUGAAGAGAAGAUGGGUGCAAAGGAAUGAGUGGGGGUUCCUCUUCACCAUCCCUAAAACUGUGGCAGUAUUUAGCAGCAUCGUUGAUGAGGCUGGUCUCAGAACUGUGCAAACAUCUGCCCUGCCUGGCCUCUCAAUGAAAAAGCUUCUACCUCUUAACAGGUAUUUCCACCAACUCGCUGGCCACCUCCCUGUUACAGCGUAAGUCGUACUUCUUUGUCCUUUUCUGGAAAUCAUGAAUGUGAAUGUCAUUUGCAGCAUGCAUUCGUGUAGUGGAUGGAAGUUCUCCACGGACCAGGCUUUCUUCAAGCGCCUUGACACCAACGUGACCCUGACCGACAUUUUCCUUUUUCGUCAUGGCUGUACUUUUCCAUUUAAAUAAGAUGCAAGCCCAUUUCCAUGGGGAUUCCAGGAAGUCUGGAAGGGAGUGAUAAAUAGGAAUGUCAUCUUUGUAUCACAUCACCCCGAAGGACUUUGCUGUGACAGUUAUAAUGUGGUGCCCGGAAGGGUGAAGGAACCACAUAAAGUGCCCAGAGCAGAUGGCUGAUGGCCGGCUCCUCACUGGUGCAUGCCCAGUCUCCCCAGCCCCCAAGUCCCUCACCGCCAGCUGGAUUCCUGUCCUACCAUAGGAGACUUGGAGCUUCCAACAACAUGCUAAUAUUUUCUUUUUAAAUAAAAACGUCACUUUUCUGGAAGGCCUAAUAUAAACAGCUUCUACUCUUAAGUCUCCAAGAAGAGAUGCUGGAAGAAUGGUUUCUUCAAAGGCAAAAGAAUCGCAAAAGGGUUUAUACAGCAACUGUAUGUAAACUUGGGCAAGUUGUUUAGACUCUCCACCUUCGUUUCCUCACCUGUUAAGUGGGUGAUGGUUGCAGUGGGGUUGCU